AGCUGGAGACUUAGGGAGGAGACGUCUUGUUCUAGUUUCAGGGUCGUGGAGCUGCAGACUGAGGGAGGAGCAAUUUUGUUGUAGUUCGAGGGUCAGGAAGCUGGCGACCCAGGGAGGAGAGGUCUUGUUCUGGUUUGAGGGUCGUGGAGCCGCAGACCCAGGGAGGAGCAAUGUUGUUGUAAUUCGAGGGUCAGGAAGCUGGCGACCCAGGGAGGAGAGGUCUUGUUCUAGUUUGAGGGUCGUGGAGCUGCAGACCCAGGGAGGAGCCAUGUUGGUUUGAAUGUUGUGGAUCUG
rnacentral:lncRNA from 1 species